CUAACAUGGGAGGAUGAAGGAAAAGGAAAACUCAGGGCAUUUCUUGCCCUCCCUCUACAGUUGAUGGAGUCUUCAGUGGCUGAAUCUCCCCUGUAUAUCCAGACAGAAUUCUGGGCCUGCCCCUUCCUCUGGGUGACCCCAACCCUGGGCCCUGACAGCUCCAGGGUGGAGAUUGUCAUGGAGGUGAGAGCCAUUGGCGAGGACAGCACAUACGGAAGAGGGCAGCAGAGAUGACCGGAAGGGUCAGGAGCCUCUCCCAGAGGACCAUCCACAACAGGACAGGCCAGCCACAGAUAACACCGAGGGAAACCGUCACGCCUAUGUCACUGAAGGACUGCUCUGGGAACAGGAAGUGAUUUCAUUCGGUUUGCUCCAAUCUACAAACAAACUUAACUUUUGUGAAGGAACAAUUCAUUUUAAUACAUGCACAUUUUUACAAUA